CGUGAGUAACCUGCCCUUGACUCUGGGAUAAGCCUGGGAAACUGGGUCUAAUACCGGAUACGACCAUCUGGCGCAUGUCAUGGUGGUGGAAAGCUUUUGUGGUUUUGGAUGGACUCGCGGCCUAUCAGCUUGUUGGUGGGGUAAUGGCCUACCAAGGCGACGACGGGUAGCCGGCCUGAGAGGGUGACCGGCCACACUGGGACUGAGACACGGCCCAGACUCCUACGGGAGGCAGCAGUGGGGAAUAUUGCACAAUGGGCGCAAGCCUGAUGCAGCGACGCCGCGUGAGGGAUGACGGCCUUCGGGUUGUAAACCUCUUUCAGUAGGGAAGAAGCGAAAGUGACGGUACCUGCAGAAGAAGCGCCGGCUAACUACGUGCCAGCAGCCGCGGUAAUACGUAGGGCGCAAGCGUUAUCCGGAAUUAUUGGGCGUAAAGAGCUCGUAGGCGGUUUGUCGCGUCUGCUGUGAAAGACCGGGGCUCAACUCCGGUUCUGCAGUGGGUACGGGCAGACUAAAGUGCAGUAGGGGAG
rnacentral:rRNA from 1 species